CAGUCUUCAAAACAGCUGUAGAAGUUUGUUAUGUUUAUCUAUUUUCCAAACAGGUGUCUGUUUAUAAACUCAGUAGCACAUUUUCAGCAGAAGAGAGAUGCAUGGUGAAUUGUCAAAUUGAAAUACAUUUUCAGAACUUACAAGAAGACAGAAAAAAAACCUUUGAAAUAAUUUUAGAGCUGAGAAUCCUGAAAGUGGGCUCAAAAAAUCAACAAAAUCUUAUCUUGCAGUUGAGGAUACCAAGAUAAAGAAUGGGUGCUUUCAGGGCUUUGGCAGAGUUUGACACACACACCCAGCCUGGCAGCUCUGUGUUCAGGCGCUUGUGUAAGCACUGGACUCACACAAUGGCGUCCCACAUUGCUCAUUUAUGGAAUCACAGCAAAAGUUUUACCUUCCUUCCUCUUCCACCGUUAUCACUGGUGAUGAUCCUCCCUGCAAUCUGGCUUUGCUGGUGGUGUUAAAUGAAACAAUCCUCUUGCCC
rnacentral:lncRNA from 1 species